CCAGACUCCUACGGGAGGCAGCAGUGGGGAAUAUUGCACAAUGGGGGGAACCCUGAUGCAGCGACGCCGCGUGAGUGAAGAAGUAUUUCGGUAUGUAAAGCUCUAUCAGCAGGGAAGAAAAUGACGGUACCUGACUAAGAAGCCCCGGCUAACUACGUGCCAGCAGCCGCGGUAAUACGUAGGGGGCAAGCGUUAUCCGGAUUUACUGGGUGUAAAGGGAGCGUAGACGGUUAUGCAAGUCUGAAGUGAAAGCCCGAGGCUCAACCAUGGGACUGCUUUGGAAACUGCGGCGCUGGAGUACGGGAGGGGCAGGCGGAAUUCCUGGUGUAGCGGUGAAAUGCGUAGAUAUCAGGAGGAACACCGGUGGCGAAGGCGGCCUGCUGGACUGCGACUGACGUUGAGGCCCGAAAGCGUGGGGAGCAAACAGGAUUAGAUACCCCCGUAC
rnacentral:rRNA from 1 species